GCUUAACACAUGCAAGUCGAACGAUGAAAGCCUGCAACUUGUUGUGGGUGGRUUAGUGGCGAACGGGUGAGUAAUACGUGGGUAACCUGCCCUCCUUUUKGGGAUAAGCCUUGGAAACGGGGUCUAAUACCGAAUAUUCUGGCGCUCUCGCAUGGGGGUGUUGGGAAAGCUUUUGUGUGAAGGGGGAUGGGCUCGCGGCCUAUCAGCUUGUUGGUGGGGUGAUGGCCUACCAAGGSGGUGACGGGUAGCCGGCCUGAGAGGKUGMCCGGCCACAUUGGGACURAGAUACGGCCCAGACUCCUACGGGAGGCAGCAKUGGGGGAUAUUGCMCAAUGGGCGAAAGCCUGAUGCAGCGACGCCGCKUGGGGGAUGAAGGCUUUCGGGUUKUAAACCUCUUUSGCUAUCGAMCAAGGCCCSCRUAGGGUGGGUUGAGGGUAGGUGGAGAAGAAGCGCCGGCUAACUACGUGCCAGCAGCCGCGGUAAUACGUAGGGCGCGAGCGUUGUCCGGAAUUAUUGGGCGUAAAGGGCUUGUAGGCGGCUUGUUGCGCCUGCUGUGAAAACGCGGGGCUUAACUUCGCGCGUGCAGUGGGUACGGGCAGGCUUGAGUGUGGUAGGGGUGACUGGAAUUCCAGGUGUAGCGGUGGAAUGCGCAGAUAUCUGGAGGAACACCGAUGGCGAAGGCAGGUCACUGGGCCAUUACUGACGCUGAGGAGCGAAAG
rnacentral:rRNA from 1 species